GACGAACGCUGGCGGCGUGCUUAACACAUGCAAGUCGAACGGAGUGGCGAACGGGUGAGUAACACGGGGGUGAUCUGCCUUGCACUUCGGGAUAAGCUUGGGAAACUGGGUCUAAUACCGGAUAGUGCAAGAUGAGCUCGCGGCCUAUGUGCUUGUUGGUGGGGUAAUGGCCUACCAAGGCGUCGACGGGUUGCCGUGCUGAGAGGGUGUACGGCCCCAUUGGGACUGAGAUACGUGCCAGACUCAGACCGUGGGCAGCAGUGGGGAAUAUUACACAAUUGGCGGAAGCGUGAGGCAGCGACGCCGCGUGGGUGAUGAAGGCCUUCGGGUUGUAAACUCCUUUCGACAGGGCCGCGGUACCUGUAUAAGAAGCACCGGCUAACUACGUGCCAGCAGCCGCGGUAAUAC
rnacentral:rRNA from 1 species